UCAUUUUGCAGAUAUUAAAAAAAAAAUAUAUAUAUAUAAAGCAAGAAAAUUGAAAACGUGGAGUAGAAGGAGAGAUUCAACGAGGAAGAAGAAAGUCCAAAUAGAGUGGGUAGACGCUUUCGAGGAGUAGGCUCUAUAUUUAUCGCGGCAAUAAGGCGGCUCGAGGCCGAGUGUCGUCAAGCCAGAGGUCGGAGGGGAAGCGGCAGUAGUGCGGGAAACGUCGGAGUGCAGACCGGCGUCGUCGGGACAAUCGGUGGCCGUCGUUAUCGUUAACGACGCACCAUCCAAUACCGUCGUCACUCUCUCCUAUUUCUUUUCUCUUUCCUAUUUCCCUUUCCUUCCUGUUUUAGUUCCCUACCUUUUCCUCUCACUUUCCUCACCCCGCGUUUCUGUUUUACUUGAAUCGCACGGCCAUUCGACCGCUUAACCACCGAACCACCCAACUAUCCAACCAUCCAUGCCUCCCACCCAUCCAACCACCCACCUAUCCAGUCACCCACCCAUCCUAUCGAGCUAACCAACCAUCUGACCGGAUAAACCGUUCGUCAGAAAUCUAUACGAGGUUUAUCAAGUUCUGGCACUAUUACGAAGCUAUCUCCGUUAAGUUAGCGCCGUGUCGCCAACGGCACGUUGCUAUACCACGCCAUGGUGACUACCUUCUCUGACCAUUCCCCUGUCGAUUCACGGCACGAGGCCACGCCAGACUACAUCUAGCGUGACCUAGGGUGGCGUGGCACAGUAUCGUUUAUCGCAGAGACCCAAACUCUUGGAAGGGAUCUACGCGACGUCUCACGUAUCUAGCAUCGAAUGCGGCAGGAACGAGGCUAUUACGCGAGUGCGCAUACAUAUCCACACCAAACGAUCGACGGUAUGCCUGCACGCGAGUCUCACCACGUAUGAAUUUAUGCUUGGCUUCGUGAGAAGAAAGACAAAGACCAAACAGAGAUGGAAGAGAUGGAGACAAUGGAAGAAAGUUGUCAAACUUCGACUUUUGAUUCCUUUUUAUUUUAUUUUUAAUUUACUUAAUAUUGAAAAUUAAAUUAAUUAUUCGAUA